rnacentral:rRNA from 1 species
GUUGGGUAGGGGAGCGUUCUGUAAGCCUGUGAAGGUGUACUGUGAGGUAUGCUGGAGGUAUCAGAAGUGCGAAUGCUGACAUAAGUAACGAUAAUGCGGGUGAAAAACCCGCACGCCGGAAGACCAAGGGUUCCUGUCCAACGUUAAUCGGGGCAGGGUGAGUCGACCCCUAAGGCGAGGCAGAAAUGCGUAGUCGAUGGGAAACGGGUUAAUAUUCCCGUACUGGUGAUAAUUGCGAUGGGGGGACGGAGAAGGCUAGGCUAUCCGGGCGACGGUUGUCCCGGUUUAAGAAUGUAGGCAGGUGAAUUAGGCAAAUCCGGUUCACUACAUGCUGAGGUUCGAUGACGAGUCACUACGGUGAUGAAGUAGCUCAUGCCCCGCUUCCAGGAAAAGCCUCUAAGCUCUAGAUUAUCAUUAAUCGUACCCCAAACCGACACAGGUGGUCAGGUAGAGAAUACUCAGGCGCUUGAGAGAACUCGGGUGAAGGAACUAGGCAAAAUGGUGCCGUAACUUCGGGAGAAGGCACGCUGGCGCUAGGUGAAGUCCCU